rnacentral:lncRNA from 1 species
GGGAUGCCAACACAGCAUGGCUUUACAAGCAGUGCUAGGUCCGCGCCCGGGAUCCAAACCUGUGAACCCCAGGCCGCCAAAGUGGAGCACACGCACUUAACCACUAUGCCACCAGGCCAGCCCGAGAGGAUAGUUUUUAUAGGCCAAGGUUGGCAACUGUUGGAGAAGAGAGCUCAGAGGAGCCUGGCUAGGGUUCGGUCGAGCAGAGAACAUUUGUCAGCUUACAGCUGAGUCCGAGAUCAUGCCUGAGGGUGAUGGUCACCAGGUUUCCCCUGGAGAGGUUUGUAGUUCCCAGAACAUCAGGACAGCAGAUGGUGAGGAGAGGCUACCUGGGAAUGUGAUGACCCCUGGACAGAGAGUCUAUGCUGACAGCCAUCAUCAAUGACAACUGAAAGAUCUGGGCAUAGGGUACUGCUCCGGUCUCUGAUACAUAUCCAGUAAAACAAAAGAUUAUCAGGAACUAAAACCAGAUGCCUCCCCAACCCAAGGGCCAGCUCCCUAUAUAACUGGCCUAUAGUCUCUCUUCUGUGAGAUGGUUCUUUCAACAUUAGUCAGAUAUCCUCCCCCUUGCUAACAAGCUGUAAUAAAAUCCCUCUCUCACCAUCUUGCCUCUCAAACUAUUGGUGGGCGGUAACAGGAACGCCAAGGGCCAAGGUCUGGAACAUCUUUCAAUCAGAUGGCCCACCUAGUAUCUUCCCUAUACUGGAUGAAGUGAUUUGUUUAUUUAAUUUACAGUUAAAAAGAGCAUUUCUGUGCUAAACUAGACCGGGACCCUGCCUUCCAUGGCUUGGCUCUUCAGUGGCUAUAACUGUACAGCAGGCCCAUCCUUGAAGGACAAUGCCAGAACUCUAGCCAACAAACACCACCAGCAGUAGUUUUCAAAGUGGUUCCCCAGACCAGCAGCAUCAGCAUCACCUGGGAACUUGUUAGAAAUGCAAAUUCUCAGGCUCCACCCUGGAGUUAAAGAAACAGCAACUGGGGAUAGGGGCCAGCUGUGUUUGAACAAACUCUCCAGGAGAAUCUGACACUCGCCAAAAUCUGAGAACCACUGACCUACAGGCCUACCCUCUGCCAGAGGAGAUGAAGCUUGGAGAGCGAGACUGCGGUCAACCUGGAGCCUCGUUAAGGAUUUGAGCUACGUUUGGAAGUUGGAGAAAGGAUGUGCUAAGAGAAGACAUGGAAAAAUAUUAAAUGUGUGCACUUUAAGCUAGGCAGUAGGGAGGUAAGGGCAUCUAAAAGAAAGGGAAUGAGACUGGACGGAGUGCCCCUGUGAGUGAGCACUCCCGGAAACCCACAGACACUCGGCCCCCUUUCUCCAGGUGGGGAAAACCCCAUGCCUACGCAGCUCCUGGUGCUGGGCGCAGCGCCUCCACCGCAGCUCCGGCUUGCGGAGCCCGCGCAUGAAGCCGAGCGGGCCUCAGGU